GAUAUCAACAAAUUGAUCUGGUUUUGGAUUUCUCACCGGUCCUGCUUUUAUUGUAUCAUCACUUUUUCUUUAAAACCAUACAAACCUCCCAAGUUUUCAUCAUCACUUUUUCAUCAUCACCCCUACAAACCAUACACUCACCUCAUACUUAAAACAACAACAUCAACAGUGUUCAUCAAUACAACACCCCUGCCAAGUUUCACUUUUUCAUCAAAUAUUCACGAACACCUCGCCGGAUAAGUCACCAGCCGUCGGUACCCUUCUCACCGGUCUUCCGCGAAGUUUCAUUCUGGGGAGAAGAAGGAGAAGGAGAAGAAGGAGAAGGAGUAGAUUAGAGAAAAGGUUGUUUGCUGCACGUUCUAAUUACCAAAGUUACAAUGGAAAAAUAUCAUUCUCAACUAUUACCUUUUUCUUUAAUCAUUAACACUUUUAUAUUUCUCCCACUCUUCUUAAGCCGAUUUCACGUUAUCGCAGAUGAAAUAUAUACAUCUUGUGCACCUUUUAGCUGUGGUAAUUUCAUUAAUAUAAGCUAUCCUUUUUGGAACUAUAACACCCAACCUAGCUAUUGUGGACACCCUAAUUUUAUAGUUGACUGUCAAAAUGGAAACUUGAUUAUAGCAAUGAAGUUCCAAAAGUUUCACAUCCUUCACAUAGAUCAAGCCUCUCAAAUUUUGAGGAUUGCAAGAGAAGAUAUGUGGGAUUUUAAUGGUGGUGGUAAAUCUCAAUGUCACAAACAUUAUACUAAUGUGGAUAUAAAUUUUGAUUUCUUCAAUUACACUUCCAACAAUGAAAUAUAUACUAUAUUGUAUGAGUGUGGUGGUCCUUUUCCGGAUUCAUACUAUUCUCCCUUGAAUCAAUAUUAUUUUAAAAAAAGAACUUGUCUUAUAAAGGGAGAAACUCAUAUUGUAUACAUAGUAUCAAGUGCCAAAUUGGCUGAUUUUGUUGGUAUGAAGUGUAAUAAUAGUACCACAUUUCCUGGAAAAAGGAGUUAUUUGAAAAACAACUCAAUAGUUCCAACGAAUGUAAUAGAGAGAGGAUUUGAAGUGAGAUGGAAUAUUGUGGGAGAUGACACGUGCAAUAAUUGCAUAAAACAUGGAGGGAGAUGUAUAUACAAAAGAGUAGAAAACGCAGUAUUGUGUCUCUCAAAGGAAUCUAUAAUAUC